GUCGAACGCGAAAGUUUCCUUCGGGGAACAAGUAGAGUGGCGCACGGGUGAGUAACACGUAGGUAAUCUACCUUUGGAUGGGGAAUAACAACCGGAAACGGUUGCUAAUACCGCAUAAUGCAGCGGCACCUAAUGGUGACAGUUGUUAAAGCGGGGAUCGAAAGACCUCGCGUCUGAAGAGGAGCCUGCGGCAGAUUAGCUAGUUGGUAAGGUAACGGCUUACCAAGGCGAUGAUCUGUAGCCGGCCUGAGAGGGCGGUCGGCCACACUGACACUGACAUACGGGUCAGACUCCUACGGGAGGCAGCAGUCGGGAAUUUUGGGCAAUGGGCGAAAGCCUGACCCAGCAACGCCGCGUGAAGGAUGAAAUCCCUCGGGAUGUAAACUUCGCAAGAACGGGAAGAAUAAGUCUGUGCUAACACCACAGGCGAUGACGGUACCGUUUGUAAGCUCCGGCUAACUCCGUGCUAGCAGCCGCGGUAAUACGGGGGGAGCAAGCGUUGUUCGGAUUUACUGGGCGUAAAGGGCGCGUAGGCGGCCACCGCAAGUCGAUUGUGAAAUCUCCGGGCUUAACCCGGAAAGGUCAACCGAUACUGCGGGGCUAGAGUGCAGAAGGGGCAACUGGAAUUCUCGGUGUAGCGGUGAAAUGCGUAGAUAUCGAGAGGAACACCUGCGGCGAAGGCGGGUUGCUGGGCUGACACUGACGCUGAAGUGCGAAAGCUAGGGGAGCGAACGGGAUUAGAUACCCCGGUAGUCCUAGCCUUAAACGAUGAAUGCUUGGUGUCUGGGGUUCUAUAG
rnacentral:rRNA from 1 species